GGGCGGAGCCGGGCAGCGCUGCGCAUGCGCACUGGCUUUACGCGCGCAGUGCGGUGCUCGGCGGGCGCCGUUCCGCGGGGCCGGCCCGGCCGUGCGGGGCCGCCGCGGUGCCCCGGAGCGGCUUGGAAGCGCCAGGCGCGGGUCCCGGCCGCGGCAGCGGCGGGCGAGGGUUGUGCUGACAAUGGAGGAGGGCGGCUGUUGCUGUGGCUGCAGCGAGGUUGAAGGAGCACUCGUGAGAAGUUUCCCAUUUGGAAUUGGGCUCCUGAAGAAAGGAACCUGAAACUGCUGUUUCUGAUAAAUCCCCCAGGGAAAAGCUGGAGAAAAGGUGGAGAGAGUGGCAAGCGGGAAUCCCAUGUUUAGAUCUGCCCUUGGAUUCCAGUUCCUCCUGGGGGGUCUGUGCUGCCCAAAGAACAAAGGAAGGAGAUGUUGGAGUACCUGUUUGUUCCCCUGUUGAGCUUGGAAGAGAUGCUGAGGGUGAAAUUCCAGGGAAGCUGCGCUUGCAGAGCGACUGGAGUGUGAAGCAGUGGCAGCUGUUUGCCGUGGACCGGUUUCCCUCCUUCACUUCGGUUCCCUGGUAUAACAGCUGGGGAUGGGGUCAGCGGCUCUGACCCAGGAAGAGGUGACCGGUCCGGGGAGAUGGUCCCGAAAGGAAUCGCCUUCCCGAGGGCCGGUGUCUUCCCUCAGCCGGUGGCAGGAGGGCCCUUGCAGAGACUGUCAGCUCUUUAGUGAUGAUCAGCUCGUGAUUCCAGCUCAGCUCUGCAGGGCAGCCUCCAGGCCAAGCCAGACCAGAGAGAGAGACGAUGGCUGGUUCCGCACAGAGGUCCCCGAGGCGGCUUCGGAUCUCCGCGGUCACCGACGCUGCCGAUUUUCCCGGCGCGCGCCGUUCGACGUCGAGGAGCGGCAUCCAGAAGCUGUGUCGGAGCAUCUUCCUGGCUGGAAUGUUUUGACAAAGACCAUCCAGAACUGCCACCUCACCCUCACGGACAGCAGGAAUGUCUUCCAUAGCUCGUUUCGGAAAGGGAAUGGCUGUUGGGAGCUCUGGCAGGACCAGAGCCCAGCUGCGGGGUCCUCACCGGGGGGAGGAAGCUCAUCCACAGCAGAAGGGGUGACAUGGCCCAGCACAGGGGCCCCCAGACCCUGCAGCAGAGCACCAGAGAUGAUGCAACAGACCCUCAGUGUUGCAAGGGACAGUGUCAAGCCGGCCCCUGCAAGAGAGGCACGUGGGCGUUCCCGCCUGGCCCAAAGUGUGCAUUAACCCACGGAGUUCUGCACCCUUCGGCUGUGGCAGCAUGUGGCGGCGUGGCCACGGCGCCCACGGGGGACCCUCACCGCCGGCAGAGCGGAUGGAGGGGAGCAACGAGACGUCGUUGGCACCCUCAGAUGGGUGAUGGGCUUCCAUCCAACCCCUCUCCCUGUUCCCCCACGCACCCUUCUGUUUUCUAUUUCUUUCUCUCUCUUCCCUUCUCUUUGCCUCUCUACUAUUAAAUAAAAUACAUCCAUUUUUUUGGCAACAACAUCUAGCCUCGUUUGGUUUUAAUCUCGUUUCUGGGGAUAUUUUGAACCUUCUAAGUUCUUUCUGGUUUAUGCACAGAGACUGAGCUUGCUUUGCUUUUCUGGGUUUAAACCGGAUCGUAACAGGGCGGGUGUGGAGGAGUUUUUCUCCCUCUCCUGUUCAUUAGUGUUACCACUGCUCUUGUUGCUCUCACUAUGUGUUGUCAUUAAUCUCAAAUGAUUGUAUUUGGUUUCCAUUCUUAAACUGUUCUGAGCUGGAAUUUUGUCUCUUCCCC
rnacentral:lncRNA from 1 species